GGAGGAGUCAAUGCAAAACUCAGAUGUCUUCCACCUCUACUUAUCUGACUGCAGAGAGGAGGACAGAGGACAGUGGACACACAGUUUAACAUGAUGGACUAUAGGACAGGACUGCUGCUUUUAACCAUCUGCUGCUGGACAGGUGUUGAUGGUCAGACUCUGACAGAAUCUGAACCAGUGAUUAAAAGACCUGGAGAAUCCCACAGACUGACCUGUACAGCCUCUGGGGUUGACUCUAGUAGCUACUGGAUGGCCUGGAUCAGACAGGCUCCUGGAAAAAGACUGGAGUGGAUCGCGAUUAUCGAAUAUGACAGUGAUAGCAAAUACUACUCUCAGUCAGUUCAGGGCCGGUUCACCAUCUCUAGAGACAACAACAGACAGCAGCUGUAUCUGCAGAUGAACAGUCUGAGGACUGAAGACUCUGCUGUGUAUUACUGUGCCCGAAGAGCCACAACAACACAAACCAUCAGUAGACCUGAACAAAAACCCCUCAGUGCCUGA